GAUGAAGAACGCAGUAAAAUGCGAUAAGUAAUGUGAAUUGCAGAAUUCAGUGAAUCAUCGAAUCUUUAAACGCACAUUGCGCCCCUUGGUAUUCCGAGGGGCAUGCCUGUUCGAGCGUCAUUAUAACCCCUCAAGCUCAGCUUGGUGUUGGGGCCUGCUGCACUGGCAGCCCUUAAAAUCAGUGGCGGCGCCAUCUGGCUCUAAGCGUAGUAAUUCUUCUCGCUAUGGAGUCCUGGUGGAUGCUUGCCAUCAACCCCCAAUUUUUCUAUGGUUGACCUCGGAUCAGGUAGGGAUACCCGCUGAACUUAAGCAUAUCAAUAAGCGGAGGA
rnacentral:misc_RNA from 1 species